rnacentral:rRNA from 1 species
GGCGUAGUCGAUGGGAAACAGGUUAAUAUUCCUGUACUUGGUGUUACUGCGAAGGGGGGACGGAGAAGGCUAUGUUAGCCGGGCGACGGUUGUCCCGGUUUAAGCAUGUAGGCUGGUUAUCCAGGCAAAUCCGGAUAAUCAAGGCUGAGGUGUGAUGACGAGGCACUACGGUGCUGAAGUAACAAAUGCCCUGCUUCCAGGAAAAGCCUCUAAGCAUCAGGUAACAUCAAAUCGUACCCCAAACCGACACAGGUGGUCAGGUAGAGAAUACCAAGGC